CGGUAACCUGUUAGAGGAGAGCAAUAAAAUUCACGAAUACUGAAGAUGUGUUUAGUGAGUUUAGGUUUGAUUUUAGCCUGUUUUUAAAAUUUGGUGAAAUCUCAGGCUGGACGUUCUUAUAAAAAAGGUUCUUAUAAAAAUAAGAGCGUAUGCGAUCUGAAACGUUUACUAGUGUGACAUAUCUUUCACGGUGUGUGCCCAAACCGGUGACGAGUAAAGGUAUGAAUCGACACAAGGUUGAAAAGGCGGAAAGACGCAACAUUAUACUCGACAAAGGGAAAUUAUGACGGGAAGUUCGCCUGAAUUCCUUCGAACAUUCAGACGGACAAAAAAGAACGCUGCUUGAAACCGGUGAAUGACGGGGAUGACGUAUGUUGUGGGGGUGGUCUGGUAUAGAAGAAGAAAAGAUUGCGAUCACGGUGGGCAAAAAUACGAACGAAAACUUCCACUAAGAUUUGUGGAAUAAACAGACAAUAAAGCGACAACAACAGUGAUUA